GAUGAACGCUGGCGGCGUGCUUAACACAUGCAAGUCGAGCGAAGCACCUUGACUUCUUCGGAAAGAUUGGUGACUGAGCGGCGGACGGGUGAGUAACGCGUGGGUAACCUGCCUCACACAGGGGGAUAACAGUUAGAAAUGACUGCUAAUACCGCAUAAGACCACAGCACCGCAUGGUGCAGGGGUAAAAACUCCGGUGGUGUGAGAUGGACCCGCGUCUGAUUAGCUAGUUGGUGGGGUAACGGCCUACCAAGGCGACGAUCAGUAGCCGACCUGAGAGGGUGACCGGCCACAUUGGGACUGAGACACGGCCCAAACUCCUACGGGAGGCAGCAGUGGGGAAUAUUGCACAAUGGGCGAAAGCCUGAUGCAGCGACGCCGCGUGAAGGAUGAAGUAUUUCGGUAUGUAAACUUCUAUCAGCAGGGAAGAAAAUGACGGUACCUGACUAAGAAGCCCCGGCUAACUACGUG
rnacentral:rRNA from 1 species